AGCGAACGCUGGCGGCAGGCCUAACACAUGCAAGUCGAACGAACUCUUCGGAGUUAGUGGCGGACGGGUGAGUAACACGUGGGAACGUGCCUUUUGGUUCGGAAUAACUCAGGGAAACUUGUGCUAAUACCGAAUGUGCCCUUCGGGGGAAAGAUUUAUCGCCAUUAGAGCGGCCCGCGUCUGAUUAGCUAGUAGGUGAGGUAACGGCUCACCAAGGCGACGAUCAGUAGCUGGUCUGAGAGGAUGACCAGCCACACUGGGACUGAGACACGGCCCAGACUCCUACGGGAGGCAGCAGUGGGGAAUCUUGCGCAAUGGGCGAAAGCCUGACGCAGCCAUGCCGCGUGAAUGAUGAAGGUCUUAGGAUUGUAAAAUUCUUUCACCGGGGACGAUAAUGACGGUACCCGGAGAAGAAGCCCCGGCUAACUUCGUG
rnacentral:rRNA from 1 species